rnacentral:lncRNA from 1 species
ACCCUCAAAUACGCAACAUGAUGAUGCUGCAUGACCAGCCCCGCUACCACAGACAAACUGAGGGAACUGAAAUCUGAUCGAGAGCCUUUGAGUCCAACGAGGUACUAACUCCACUUCAAAUUCCUUCACGUCCAACUGUCUCACAAGACAGAUAUAAGAAGUUCAGGGAAUCCCUUUCCUGCUUCAAGCUUCCUGGGGGAAUACAAAGUGUGCAUGGGGGAACUGCAUUACCUGUAUUGCCAGAAGACCAGAGGGCAAAGGCCAAGUCUCCAUGCACAUUUGUUAGAGGACAUCAACAUUUUGGUAGUGCUGUUGACCCUUGUCCAAGAAAACCGCCACUCAGCCACACAUGAUCCAGUCAGACCCAGCUCAGCAGUGUGUCUCUCACCAUUCCUAGCUCUGCACCCACUACACAGCCACCACCCAAGCCCAGUUGGGUUCCAGGCCUGUCUGCCUCCGCUGGCCUUGCUCUGUCCAGGCCCUGUUCUUGACUCCAGGUCUGAACACCAAACAUGAUCCCUGCAGAGAGAAGCUUCACUGAAGAUGAUAACAGUUCCCAUGGGCCCAUUGGAGGCCUGAAGCUUCAAUUUCACCGGGCACGUGGAGUGCCCACCAGCUUAGGGUUGAUACAUAAUCAGAACAUAAGGCACCU